rnacentral:lncRNA from 1 species
AUCUGGCCGCUGGAGAGGGGCGGUAGUCGGCCCCGGCGGCAGAGGAAGCAACGCUCAGCUCCCUCCUCCACCCACCCCAUACAGGAACUCCCCACCGGGUCUUCAGAUGACAUAGGCGUCCCCGGCUCAGAGCCUAACCUGGGUCUCAGGGUCGGCCCCGACAGGGCGGGGGAGGAGGAAGGCUCUAUCCCGCCCCCGCCUCACCUCUACUCCCCGACCCCCAGGCUCCGACCCUUCUCACCAGCAAGGCCCCCCGCCUUACUCUUGUCCACUCCCAGAGACCCUGAGCGCACCCCUUUCUCGGCAUCCGCAGAGGACCCGCGUCUCCCGCCUUCCGUACGGGGCCCUCCCGGCCGCCCCGGCCCGAGCCCUUUGCACCGCGUCCCCCGGCCCCAGAGUCCGCCCCGCAUCCGCACUUCCCGCCCGGCCCCGCGGGCUCGCGGUCCGCCCCAACUUUUCCCAGCGCCGGCCCCGCAGCAACCGGGAUGCAGCGUCUCGAGCCGCGACGGGCAGGCGAGCUCGCGUCCCUGGGGCCCCCAACCCCGCCCGCGCGAGUUGCGCUCGGGACUCGCUGGGCGCCCGGGCCUGGGUCAGCAGCACUGCGCGGAGGCGGAGCCGGCGUGGCGGGAACCGCGCUGUCCCGGCGCCGCACCCCCGCCCGGCGCCCGGUGCCCCGCGCCCGCCCGCCGGCUCGCCCGCCCCGCCACCGCCACGCCGCUCCCAACCCACCUGCCCGCGGGCGCCGCCGCCGCCGCCGCCGCCACCACUGCCGGGAAUACGUGGCAGUGGCCGCCGCCGCUUGCGCUCCACUCCUCGCCUCUCCUCUCGGCGCCCGCGCGGGCGGCUCUGGCGUGCCGGACCGCAGCGCCAGGCGCCCUCUGCCGCCGGGAAGCCGAAUCCUCCUGCCCUAACCCUAAUUCGCUGGCUGCCCCCGCCCGGGCGUUGGCCCCCGCCCCCUCUUCCCCGUCGCCGGCUCCGACUGUAGCUUCCGAGCGACCUGGGUUCCCGCCCCGCCUGCAGCUGCUGCUGCCUCCAGGAAGUUCGCCCUGA